AGUGUAUGAGGUAUAACCUCGUGUUACAAAAAAAUUGAAAAAGUCAGUAAUAAAUUUAAAUAAAAUGCCUGGUCGAGGUGCAGUCUGGGUCAGGCAACGUUUAGACGCUUUAUCGCCUGUCGAAGUUAGAUGUACGUAAACGAUAAUAAUCUGUCAAAGCUGCAGGUCAAUCGAUUAUGAAAUAGAAUGCAGAAUAGGAUUUGGAGUGUUUUGCUGAUUUUUAAAGAAAGUUUUUGGCUGUGAAAAUUUGAUACAUGGAAAAACAUUUGUUAUCAUUCUUGUCAAGAGGAGAGAAUUCUCACUUGUACACAUUUGGCUGCCAAUGGAAAUCUCAAAAAGUGCAACUAUAUGCGGAAAUUCGAGAGUCACUUUUUCGUGUGUAUAUGUGUGGCAGAAAACCCCCGUGAAGGCGGUGACCAUCAAUCAAUCAGUGUACAAUUUUUGGAUGCUGUAAACGACACUGAGUAUUUCAUGAAAUACUAGAAAGUCCCAAAGUACAAUAAUAAUUAAUAAAAUCUCACUUUUUAAAAUUC